GGAGAGAACCUAUAGUCCNCCCUCAGCACCCAAAGCUGAGAUUCUACUUAAACUACCCCUUGC
rnacentral:tRNA from 1 species